GAACUGGCAUUCCUGCUGGCUCUGGCCUCUGGGACAGCACCUCCUCCAGCUCACUGCCCUCCACCCUUCCAGCUACAGCUCCCUCCGGUGCCCCAGAACCGCCCGGCACUCCGGGGCUCCCAGGCUCAUCUGGGCACGACUCCGCCCUCCCGACAGAGCCCUCUGCACACCCUCUCCGCACCCCGGCCCAUCGCAGCUCUUCACGGAGACGCUUCAUGGAAUGAGUGAUCAGAUUUUCCAGACCAGGCUUUCUGAGAGGCUGUUAAUGAGCCAAACGAUUCUGCUAACCGUCGUUUUCAGAAGGGCCGCCCGGCUCACAGUUCUCUUUAUUCAGGCAAAGCCAUCAAGACCCCGGUG
rnacentral:lncRNA from 1 species